UACGGAGGGUGCGAGCGUUGUCCGGAAUCACUGGGCGUAAAGGGCGCGUAGGUGGCCCGUUAAGUGGCUGGUGAAAUCCCGCGGCUCAACUGCGGGGCUGCCGGUCAUACUGGCGGGCUUGAAUCCGGGAGAGGGAUGCGGAAUUCCAGGUGUAGCGGUGAAAUGCGUAGAUAUCGGGAGGAACACCGAUGGCGAAGGCAGCCCCCUGGGUCAAGAUUGACGCUCAUGCACGAAAGCGUGGGGAGCAAACAGG
rnacentral:rRNA from 1 species